GAGGAAGCCGGUGCGAGUCCGGCGCGGUCCCGCCACUGUCACCGGGUUUCGAGCCCGGGAGCCAGGAACUC
rnacentral:ncRNA from 2 species